rnacentral:rRNA from 1 species
GGAGSGUGCAAGCGUUAAUCGGAAUUACUGGGCGUAAAGCGCACGCAGGCGGUUGGAUAAGUUAGAUGUGAAAGCCCCGGGCUCAACCUGGGAAUUGCAUUUAAAACUGCCCAGCUAGAGUCUUGUAGAGGGGGGUAGAAUUCCAGGUGUAGCGGUGAAAUGCGUAGAGAUCUGGAGGAAUACCGGUGGCGAAGGCGGCCCCCUGGACAAAGACUGACSCUCAGGUGCGAAAGCGUGGGGAGCAAACAGGAUUAGAUACCCUGGUAGUCCACGCCGUAAACGAUGUCGAUUUGGAGGCUGUGUCCUUGAGACGUGGCUUCCGGAGCUAACGCGUUAAAUCGACCGCCUGGGGAGUACGGCCGCAAGGUUA